GAUGAAGAACGUAGCGAAAUGCGAUAAGUAAUGCGAAUUGCAGAAUUUCCGUGAGUCAUCGAAUCUUUGAACGCACAUUGCGCCCACUGGUAUUCCGGUGGGCAUGCCUGUUCGAGCGUCAUUAUCCUCCCUCAAACCCCGGGUUUGGUGUUGGACCCAAGUUGUGUGAACAACUGGUCUCAAAGACAAUGACGGCGUCCGUGGGACCCUCGGUGCAACGAGCUUUUAGGAGCACGCAUCGAGUUGCAAGGACCUUCCGGGCCGGUCUCCUUUUACUAUUUUACAAGGUUGACCUCGGAUCAGGUAGGAAUACCCGCUGAACUUAAGCAUAUCAAUAAGCGGAGGA
rnacentral:misc_RNA from 1 species